rnacentral:rRNA from 1 species
UCAAGCUAGAAAGAGCGCAAGGGGAAUGCCUUGGCAUCGAGAGCCGAAGAAGGACGUGACAAGCUGCGAUAAGUCUGGGGGAGCCGCACAUAGGCUUUGAUCCCGGAAUUUCCGAAUGGGGAAACCCGGCAGAGCAAUACUCUGUCAGCGUGCGUUGAAUAAAAUAGGCGUACGCGGGGAACCGCCUGAACUGAAACAUCUAAGUAGGGCGAGGAAGAGAAAUCAACCGAGAUUCCGCAAGUAGUGGCGAGCGAACGCGGAAGAGGGCAAACCAGAGGAUUUAUUCUCUGGGGUUGUGGACUUGCACACGGGAGACUAGGUUAGCUGAAUGGUAUGGGAAGGCCAUCCACAGAGGGUGAGAGACCCGUAAGCGAAAACCGAAGUCUUUCAGCGAGGAUCCAGAGUACCGCCGGACACGUGAAACCCGGUGGGAAGCAGGGGGGACCACCCUCCAACCCUAAAUACUACUCGAUGACCGAUAGAGGAGCAGUACCGUGAGGGAAAGGUGAAAAGGACCCCGGGAGGGGAGUGAAAGAGAACCUGAAACCUUGUGCUUACAAGCACUCAAAGCACGUUAAAGUGUGAUGAGGUACUUUUUGUAGAACGGUCCGGCGAGUUAUUGUAUGUAGCGAGCUUAAGGUGUUCAGCACCGGAGGCGAAGCGAGAGCGAGUCUGAAUAGGGCGACUGAGUUGCAUGCAAUAGACCCGAAACCAGGUGACCUAUCCAUGGGCAGGUUGAAGUGGGGGUAAAACCCCAUGGAGGACCGAACCGACCCCCGUUGCAAUGGUGGCGGAUGACCUGUGGAUAGCGGAGAAAUUCUAAUCGAACUUGGAGAUAGCUGGUUCUCCCCGAAAUAGCUUUAGGGCUAGCGUUGAUUUAGAUUACCGGAGGUAAAGCACUGAAUGGGCUAGGGGCUGAUAAAGUUACUGAACCCUAUCAAACUAAGAAUGCCGGCAAAUUGAUGAUCAGCAGUCAGACUACGUGAGAUAAGUCUCGUGGUCAAAAGGGAAACAGCCCAGACCCACAGCUAAGGUCCCAAAUAUACGCUAAGUGGAAAACGAUGUGGAAUUGCGAAAACAACCAGGAUGUUGGCUUAGAAGCAGCCACUCAUUAAAAGAGUGCGUAAUAGCUCACUGGUCGAGUGGUUCUGCGCGGAAAAUGUAACGGGGCUAAGCGUAUAACCGAAGCUUGGGAUGCAGCAAUGCAUGGUAGGGGAGCGUCGAAUACGGGGUGAAGUCGUAGCGGAAGCAGCGGUGGACUGUAUUCGAGUGAGAAUGCCGGAAUGAGUAGCGAGAAUUAUGUGGGAAUCAUAAUGGCCGAAAAUCUAAGGUUUCUUGGGGAAGGUUCGUCCGCCCAAGGUAAGCCGGGAGCUAAGGCGAGGCCGAAAGGCGUAGUCGAUGCACAUACGGUUGAAAUUCCGUAGCCACCGAAACUUAAACCAGAAGGACACUUGGAGCUAUCCGAACCCGGGCGUUGGUUGACCCGGGCGUAAGGGACCGAAAUUAAGUAGGGAAGUCGGAGAAUGACGAGGCGAGAAAAGUUCUGGUGUAUGCUAAGGUGCCCGUACCGCAAACCGACACAGGUAGAUGAGGAGAGAAUCCUAAGGCCAACGGGAGAAGGGUUGUUAAGGAACUCGGCAAAAUUACCCCGUAACUUCGGGAUAAGGGGAGCCCCCUACGGGGGGCCGCAGAGAAUAGGCCCAAGCGACUGUUUACCAAAAACACAGGUCUAUGCUAAAUCGAAAGAUGACGUAUAUGGGCUGACGCCUGCCCGGUGCUGGAAGGUUAAGAGGAGAGCUUAGCGCAAGCGAAGGUUUGAAUUGAAGCCCCAGUAAACGGCGGCCGUAACUAUAACGGUCCUAAGGUAGCGAAAUUCCUUGUCGGGUAAGUUCCGACCUGCACGAAUGGUGUAAUGAUCUGGACGCUGUCUCAACCGUGAGCUCAGUGAAAUUGUAGUAUCGGUGAAGAUGCCGAUUACCCGCGAUGGGACGAAAAGACCCCGUGAACCUUUACUAUAGCUUAUCAUUGAAUCUGGGCACGUGAUGUGUAGGAUAGGUCGGAGGCUUUGAAGCAGGUACGCCAGUAUUUGUGGAGCCGCUGUUGAAAUACGACCCUUUAUUUGUUUGGAUUCUAACCCGUGGAUACGGGGACAUUGAUUGGUGGGUAGUUUGACUGGGGUGGUCGCCUCCAAAAGCGUAACGGAGGCUUCUAAAGGUGCCCUCCGGCCGAUUGGUAACCGGCCUUAGAGUGUAAUGGCAUAAGGGCGCUUGACUGGGAGACUAACAAGUCGAUCAGGUAGGAAACUAGAGCAUAGUGAUCCGGUGUUUCCGUAUGGAAGGGACAUCGCUCAAAGGAUAAAAGGUACUCCGGGGAUAACAGGCUGAUCCCUCCCAAGAGCUCAUAUCGACGGAGUGGUUUGGCACCUCGAUGUCGGCUCGUCACAUCCUGGGGCUGGAGAAGGUCCCAAGGGUUGGGCUGUUCGCCCAUUAAAGUGGCACGCGAGCUGGGUUCAGAACGUCGUGAGACAGUUCGGUCUCUAUCUAUCGUGGGCGCAUGAAAUUUGCGUGGCUCUGACACUAGUACGAGAGGACCGUGUUGGACAGACCUCUGGUUUGCCGGUUGUGCCGCCAGGUGCAUUGCCGGGUAUCUAAGUCUGGAUCGGAUAAGUGCUGAAAGCAUCUAAGUACGAAGCCGGCCACAAGAUUAGAUUUCUCAGGGUCGUUGUAGACUACGACGUUGAUAGGAUGCAGGUGUAAAGAUGGAGACAUCAAAGCCGAGCAUUACUAAUUGCCCGUCCACUUUCCUUA